CGCGUAGGCGGGAUAACAAGUCAGGUGUGAAAUCCGGGGGCUCAACCCUCGAACUGCACGUGAAACUGUUAUUCUUGAGUGAUGGAGAGGCAAGUGGAAUUCCUAGUGUAGCGGUGAAAUGCGUAGAUAUUAGGAGGAACACCAGUGGCGAAGGCGACUUGCUGGACAUUAACUGACGCUGAGGCGCGAAAGCGUGGGGAGCAAACAG
rnacentral:rRNA from 1 species